rnacentral:rRNA from 1 species
UACGUAGGGGGCAAGCGUUGUCCGGAUUUACUGGGUGUAAAGGGUGCUCAGGUGGUUGCGCAAGUCAGAGGUGAAAUCCUAGAGCUUAACUCUGGAACUGCCUUUGAUACUGCACGGCUUGUGUACGGAAGAGGCUGAUGGAAUUCCUGGUGUAGCAGUGAAAUGCGUAGAUAUCAGGAAGAACACCAGUGGCGAAGGCGGUCAGCUGGUCCGUUACAGACACUAAAGCACGAAAGCGUGGGGAGCAAACAGG